CUACGGGAGGCAGCAGUGGGGAAUAUUGCACAAUGGAGGAAACUCUGACGCAGCAACGCCGCGUGGAGGAUGACACUUUUCGGAGCGUAAACUCCUUUUAUAUAGGAAGAAGAUGACGGUACUAUAUGAAUAAGCGCCGGCUAACCCCGUGCCAGCAGCCGCGGUAAUACGGAGGGCGCAAGCGUUACUCGGAAUCACUGGGCGUAAAGAGCGUGUAGGCGGAUUAAAAAGUCAGAAGUGAAAUCCUAUAGCUUAACUAUAGAACUGCUUCUGAAACUCUUAAUCUAGAAUAUGGGAGAGGUAGAUGGAAUUUCUGGUGUAGGGGUAAAAUCCGUAGAGAUCAGAAGGAAUACCGAUUGCGAAGGCGAUCUACUAGAACAUUAUUGACGCUGAGACGCGAAAGCGUGGGGAGCAAACAGGAUUAGAUACCCUAGUAGUC
rnacentral:rRNA from 1 species